GAACGAUAAUCUGUCUGUAAACUUUUGUUUUAAUUAUUUUUCAAAUGUAUUUUAGUAAAUAAUUAAUUUCGAUCCUUUUAGUGGAAAUGUCUCGCAGCCUUCUUACUCGUAUAUGGUCGUUCACGAGGAAAAACCCUAGCUCUUCAUCGCUGGCUCGUUUCCUCUCGAUCUGCUGCGCAGCUUCGACUUUACUAUUCUGCCGAUUUGGAAACGGAUCAGAAUGAAGGCCGGACGGACGACCAGACUCGACUAACAAAACCUUGAAGAUCCAGCCGAGGGGAAAUUGAACCAAUCAGACUUCGGAGAAUACCAUCGCCGCCGAGGGCGAUAGAAAUGGAAGGACAGCUGCUCCGCCACCAUCUCCUUCUCCCGGCGUCUAUUCGAGCAGCGGCAGGACUUCCGGUUCGAGAGUAGAGUGGCAGACCCUCACCAAGGGAAAUUUCUCGUCUCAGAUUCGCCUCCACCCACAGAUCCUUCUCGUGGUCACUGUCCCUUGGUUUAAUGAAGCACGAACAUUAAUGAAGGAAGUCUCAUACUGGGUGGCUAAUGACGAGGAACUUAAAUUUCUAAAACUAUUGGUUAUUAAUAGGAGUUCUGAGAAGAUGCUAACUGACAUCCUUGGUGCUAAAGAUUAGAUAACAAUAUACUACUAUCAUAAUUCAACGUCACACAAGUAUCAUGGGAGACCUAGCACACAAAGUUUACUAUUUUCAGUCCAUUUCUUUUUGUCACUUAAGCCCAAUGAGAUUCCUCUGAAGCCUCUGCAAACUCCAGAAGGUCUUGAAAACUUUUUUUCAAAUCAACAGAUAAAGCUGUUCUUCUCCUUGAGUUAUGUGGAUGGUCAGCCUAA